rnacentral:rRNA from 1 species
GGCGCUUCACACCCACCUAGAGGAGCCUGUUCUAGAACCGAUAACCCCCGUUUAACCUCACCUUCUCUUGUUCCCCCAGCCUAUAUACCGCCGUCGUCAGCCCACCCUAUGAAGGCCCAGCAGUGAGCGAAACUGGCACAGCCCAAAACGUCAGGUCAAGGUGUAGCGCAUGAGAAGGGAAGAAAUGGGCUACAAUUGCUUAAAUAGCUAAAACGAAUUGUACCGCUGAAAACGCACACAUGAAGGAGGAUUUAGAAGUAAGGGGCAAGCAGAGUGUCCCCCUGAAAUGGUUCUGAAGCGUGCACACACCGCCCGUCACUCUCCCCAAGUUAAAACCCCAGCAUUAACUAAAUAUUGAAACCUACAAAGGGGAGGCAAGUCGUAACAUGGUAAGUGUACCGGAAGGUGUACUUGGAAUAAAC